rnacentral:rRNA from 1 species
GACGAACGCUGGCGGCGUGCCUAAUACAUGCAAGUCGAGCGAUGUUUAAAGAUAGCUUGCUAUUUUUAUGAAGAGCGGCGAACGGGUGAGUAACGCGUGGGAAAUCUGCCGAGUAGCGGGGGACAACGUUUGGAAACGGACGCUAAUACCGCAUAACAAUGAGAAUCGCAUGAUUCUUAUUUGAAAGAAGCAAUUGCUUCACUACUUGAUGAUCCCGGGUUGUAUUAGCUAGUUGGUAGUGUAAAGGACUACCAAGGCGAUGAUACAUAGCCGACCUGAGAGGGUGAUCGGCCACACUGGGACUGAGACACGGCCCAGACUCCUACGGGAGGCAGCAGUAGGGAAUCUUCGGCAAUGGGGGCAACCCUGACCGAGCAACGCCGCGUGAGUGAAGAAGGUUUUCGGAUCGUGAAACUCUGUUGUUAGAGAAGAACGUUAAGUAGAGUGGAAAAUUACUUAAGUGACGGUAUCUAACCAGAAAGGGACGGCUAACUACGUGCCAGCAGCCGCGGUAA